CCUACGGUGGCAGCAGUGGGGAAUAUUGGACAAUGGGCGAAAGCCUGAUCCAGCCAUGCCGCGUGUGUGAAGAAGGCCUUCGGGUUGUAAAGCACUUUCAGUGGGGAAGAAAGCCUUGGGGCUAAUACCCUCGAGGAAGGACAUCACCCACAGAAGAAGCACCGGCUAACUCCGUGCCAGCAGCCGCGGUAAUACGGAGGGUGCGAGCGUUAAUCGGAAUUACUGGGCGUAAAGCGCGCGUAGGCGGUCUGAUAAGCCGGUUGUGAAAGCCCCGGGCUCAACCUGGGAACGGCAUCCGGAACUGUCAGGCUAGAGUGCAGGAGAGGAAGGUAGAAUUCCCGGUGUAGCGGUGAAAUGCGUAGAGAUCGGGAGGAAUACCAGUGGCGAAGGCGGCCUUCUGGACUGACACUGACGCUGAGGUGCGAAAGCGUGGGUAGCAAACAGGAUUAGCUACCCGAGUAGUC
rnacentral:rRNA from 1 species